UGCAAGUCGAGCGGUAAGGCCCUUUUGGGGGUACACGAGCGGCAAACGGGUGAGUAACACGUGGGUGACCUGCCCUUAGCUCUGGGAUAAGCCUGGGAAACUGGGUCUAAUACUGGAUAUGACUCCAUGUCGCAUGGUGUGGGGUGGAAAGCCUUGUGCGGCUAGGGAUGGGCCCGCGGCCUAUCAGCUUGUUGGUGGGGUGAUGGCCUACCAAGGCGACGACGGGUAGCCGGCCUGAGAGGGCGAUCGGCCACACUGGGACUGAGACACGGUCCGGACUCCUACGGGAGGCAGCAGUGGGGAAUAUUGGACAAUGGGCGAAAGCCUGAUCCAGCGACGCCGCGUGUGUGAAGAAGGCCUGCGGGUUGUAAAGCACUUUUAGUGGGGAUGAAAAGCCUAGGGAUAACACCCUUGGGUCUUGACCUAACCCACAGAAAAAGCACCGGCUAACUCUGUGCCAGCAGCCGCGGUAAUACAGAGGGUGCAAGCGUUAAUCGGAAUUACUGGGCGUAAAGCGUGCGUAGACGGUUACAUAAGUCGGGUGUGAAAGCCCCGGGCUCAACCUGGGAAUUGCAUUCGAGACUGCGUAGCUAGGGUGCGGAAGAGGGAAGUGGAAUUUCCGGUGUAGCGGUGAAAUGCGUAGAUAUCAGGAGGAACACCGGUGGCGAAGGCGGGUCUCUGGGCCGAUACUGACGCUGAGGAGCGAAAGCGUGGGGAGCGAACAGGAUUAGAUACCCUGGUAGUCCACGCCGUAAACGUUGGGCGCUAGGUGUGGGAUCGCUUCCACGGGUUCCGUGCCGCAGCUAACGCAUUAAGCGCCCCCGCCUGGGGAGUACGGCCGCAAGGCUAAAACUCAAUGAAUUGACGGGG
rnacentral:rRNA from 1 species